CGUGCCAGCAGCCGCGGUAAUACGGAGGAUGCAAGCGUUAUCCGGAUUUAUUGGGUUUAAAGGGUGCGUAGGCGGAAAAUUAAGUCAGUGGUGAAAUCCUGCAGCUUAACUGUAGAAUUGUCAUUGAUACUGGUUUUCUUGAAUACAGUUGAGGUAGGCGGAAUGAGUUAUGUAGCGGUGAAAUGCUUAGAUAUUACUCAGAACACCAAUUGCGAAGGCAGCUUACUAAACUGUGAUUGACGCUGAGGCACGAAAGCGUGGGGAGCGAACAGGAUUAGAUACCCUGGUAGUCCACGCCGUAAACGAUGAUCACUCGUUGUUGGCAAUACACCGUCAGCGACUGAGCGAAAGUAUUAAGUGAUCCACCUGGGGAGUACGAUUGCAAGAUUGAAACUCAAAGGAAUUGACGGGGGCCCGCACAAGCGGAGGAACAUGUGGUUUAAUUCGAUGAUACGCGAGGAACCUUACCUGGGCUUAAAUGCAUAACGACGGAUCGGGAAACUGGUCUUUCUUCGGACGGAAUGCAAGGUGCUGCAUGGCUGUCGUCAGCUCGUGCCGUGAGGUGUCGGGUUAAGUCCCAUAACGAGCGCAACCCUCAUCAUUAGUUGCCAGCGGGUAAUGCCGGGGACUCUAAUGAAACUGCCGGUGUAAACCGAGAGGAAGGCGAGGAUGACGUCAAGUCAGCACGGCCCUUAUGUCCAGGGCUACACACGUGUUACAAUGGUCAGUACAAAGGGCAGCUACCAGGCAACUGGAUGCUAAUCUCAAAAGCUGGUCACAGUUCGGAUCGGAGUCUGCAACUCGACUUCG
rnacentral:rRNA from 1 species